GAUGAAAGCUGGCGGCGUGCCUAAUACAUGCAAGUAGAGCGAACAGACGAGGAGCUUGCUCCUCUGACGUUAGCGGCGGACGGGUGAGUAACACGUGGAUAACCUACCUAUAAGACUGGGAUAACUUCGGGAAACCGGAGCUAAUACCGGAUAAUAUAUUGAACCGCAUGGUUCAAUAGUGAAAGACGGUUUUGCUGUCACUUAUAGAUGGAUCCGCGCCGCAUUAGCUAGUUGGUAAGGUAACGGCUUACCAAGGCAACGAUGCGUAGCCGACCUGAGAGGGUGAUCGGCCACACUGGAACUGAGACACGGUCCAGACUCCUACGGGAGGCAGCAGUAGGGAAUCUUCCGCAAUGGGCGAAAGCUUGACGGAGCAACGCCGCGUGAGUGAUGAAGGUCUUCGGAUCGUAAAACUCUGUUAUUAGGGAAGAACAAAUGUGUAAGUAACUAUGCACGUCUUGACGGUACCUAAUCAGAAAGCCACGGCUAACUACGUG
rnacentral:rRNA from 1 species